CAUCUCCUGUUCAAAAACAAAGCAGCAAGUUGUCAGGUAACAGCAUUUAUAGCUCAGAGUCAGUUUUCAGUGUUUACUGAACCAAUACUCACUAUUCCGCUAACUGGAAAAUGCAUUUUAGAAAGUUUGAUAUUCAUAAAAUUGUUCAAAUCCUGGUUAGCAUCUACCAAGAGAAAUUUCAGUUUUCAAGAAAGGCCUCAACUGAAGAAAAUCAACUGGGAACAAAGGUUGAAAAAAACCCCUGCCAAUAGCAUCUAGGACAUCAAUACCAACCAAAGGUUGGCAACUGGAUUUCAUCUGUAUCAUUACAGGCAGAUGAAGGCUGAAAAGGAAGCUGCUACACAAAAGUGGCUAAGAAACCAUCUAGUUACACUAUGCACUCAAAAUUAAGAAAUAAAUAAACAAGUAUGGGGCAAGCAACACAAAAAAAAAGUUGAUAUGUUAAGAGGUCCAAAUCAUGUUGGCACAUAUAUUUUUAUAGCACAGACUAUCCUUCAGCAUUUCACGUCUGCUAUAUGCUUGUUCAGUAUCUGCACGUGUCACAGGAUACCAACAGGAAUCUGUGACCGGUAAAGAGAACGCCAGUAUAUUUAUUUAGCACUUACAUUCUUCUGUGGUCAUCAUUAUAUGAAACUGCUUCUUUUGACAAGGGGGACACACAGAUUCAAUGGCAGUAAAGAGUAGAUAUACAUUAGGGGAAAUAAAGCUUAAAA